CGGACCGGCGGUGCCGGGGGGAGGCCGGGGGCGGGGAGGGGGCACUGGCCCCCCCUCCUUCUCCGCUGCCCGCCCCCGCGGCAGCGCGACUCGGCGGCGGCUGCAGACGGGGACGGCGACGGCGCCGCGCAGCAGAGAAACUCUUGCCAGGAGAAGUCAGCCUCUGAUGGGACGCUGCCCUGGGAAGGGACAACCCAUUGCAGCCAAACCUGAGUUUUCUGUGGCAAAUCCUCUGCCCCCAAACUCCAGUGAGGACCUGUGGGAGAGUUUCCAUCGCCACCAGCCAGCUUUGGUCACUGUGAGAGGGAUUAACAGUGCGUCCAGAGCCUGGCAGUCCCUUGCCUGCAUUGCCCCAUGGAGAGGAAAUGUGGGGACCCCUGCCUCUCUGGCUGGGAGCAUCCCAUGAGGGAUGAUGUGCAGAGUCCAACCUUGUGAGCCGCUCCAGCUUUGGGAGAAACCCUGAUCCUGGGAAUGGAGGAAGGCUUCUGGAAGCAUUUUAAAAG